rnacentral:lncRNA from 1 species
CUUGAACUUGUUGAGCAGCACGGAGCAAGGAAGCAGCUUGAACCAGAGGAGCAGCAUGAACCUGAGGAUGAGCUUGUAGCUGCGGAUGUUCUAUUGAAGAAGUUGAUCAAACCACCUUGGCUUGGAGAAAGAGAUAAGCCAAUUGGAUUCAACAAUGGGAGAGUGAUCCAAUUGUACUCUUUUUCCCUUGUUGAGUUUUGUCCCAAUGGGUUUCCUCAACAAGGUUUUUAAUGAGGCAAUUGUGUCACUCCAUCAUGGCCCAUUUGUUGAAUCAGAAGCCCAUGG